GACAGAGGUGGCUAGCGUUGUUCGGUGUCACUGGGCUUAAAGCGUGUGUAGGCGGCCUGACAAGUCCGUUGUGAAAUACCCCGGCUUAACCGGGGAACUGCUUCGGAUACUAUCAGGCUUGAGGCAGGUAUGGGUGCGGGGAACUGUUGGUGGAGCGGUGGAAUGCGUAGAUAUCAACAGGAACGCCGGUGGUGAAGACGCUGCACUGGGCCUGCCCUGACGCUGAUACACGAAAGCGUGGGUAU
rnacentral:rRNA from 1 species